GGAGCCCGGCUCAUGAGUCUGAGUGGGGAGAACUCCUGAGAGAGGAGCCCCGACUUCAGAGUCCCAGCUCCAAGCCCAGGGCCAUGCCCGUGUCUGCCUCAGAUCGCCACCUGCAACAGCCGGAACGGGAACCCGGCCCCCAAGAUCACGUGGUAUCGCAACGGGCAGCGCCUGGAGGUGCCCGUAGAGAUGAACCCAGAGGGCUACAUGACCAGCCGCACGGUCCGGGAGGCCUCGGGCCUGCUCUCCCUCACCAGCACCCUCUACCUGCGGCUCCGCAAGGAUGACCGAGACGCCAGCUUCCACUGCGCCGCCCACUACAGCCUGCCCGAGGGCCGCCACGACCGCCUGGACAGCCCCACCUUCCACCUCACCCUGCACUGUGAGUCUGUCUGGCCUUUGACCUCUGACCUCAGGCUCCACACCUC
rnacentral:sRNA from 1 species